rnacentral:rRNA from 1 species
GAUGAACGCUGGCGGCGUGCCUAAUACAUGCAAGUCGAGCGAACGGACGAGAAGCUUGCUUCUCUGAUGUUAGCGGCGGACGGGUGAGUAACACGUGGAUAACCUACCUAUAAGACUGGGAUAACUUCGGGAAACCGGAGCUAAUACCGGAUAAUAUUUUGAACCGCAUGGUUCAAAAUUGAAAGACGGUCUUGCUGUCACUUAUAGAUGGAUCCGCGCUGCAUUAGCUAGUUGGGAAGGUAACGGCUUACCAAGGCAACGAUGCAUAGCCGACCUGAGAGGGUGAUCGGCCACACUGGAACUGAGACACGGUCCAGACUCCUACGGGAGGCAGCAGUAGGGAAUCUUGCGCAAUGGGCGAAAGCCUGACGGAGCAACGCCGCGUGAGUGAUGAAGGUCUUCGGAUCGUAAAACUCUGUUAUUAGGGAAGAACAUAUGUGUAAGUAACUGUGCACAUCUUGACGGUACCUAAUCAGAAAGCAACGGCUAACUACGUG